rnacentral:rRNA from 1 species
AUUGAACGCUGGCGGCAGGCCUAACACAUGCAAGUCGAGCGGAGCGGCGGACGGGUGAGUAAUGCCUAGGAAUGUGCCUGGUAGUGGGGGAUAACGUCAGGAAACGGGAGCUAAUACCGCAUCAUAUCAGCUGCGCCUAGGUCGGAUUAGGUAGGUGGUGGGGUAAAGGCCUACCAAGGCGACGAUCCGUAACUGGUCUGAGAGGAUGAUCAGCCACACUGGAACUGAGACACGGUCCAGACUCCUACGGGAGGCAGCAGUGGGGAAUAUUGGACAAUGGGCGCAAGCCUGAUCCAGCCAUGCCGCGUGUGUGAAGAAGGUCUUCGGAUUGUAAAGCACUUUAAGUUGGGAGGCGUUACCAACAGAAUAAGCACCGGCUAACUUCGUGCCAGCAGCCGCGGUAAUUC